UACGGGGGGGCAAGCGUUGUUCGGAAUUACUGGGCGUAAAGGGCGCGUAGGCGGCGCGGGUAGUCAUCGGUGAAAGUUCAGGGCUCAACUCUGAAUCGGCCGGUGAUACUCCCGUGCUUGAGCACUGUAGAGGCAGGUGGAAUUCCGGGCGUAGCGGUGGAAUGCGUAGAGAUCCGGAAGAACACCGGUGGCGAAGGCGGGUCUCUGGGCAGUAACUGACGCUGAGGAGCGAAAGCGUGGGGAGCGAACAGG
rnacentral:rRNA from 1 species